GCAGUAGCCGCGGUAAUACGAAGGGGGCUAGCGUUGCUCGGAAUCACUGGGCGUAAAGGGUGCGUAGGCGGGUUUUUAAGUCAGAGGUGAAAUCCUGGAGCUCAACUCCAGAACUGCCUUUGAUACUGAAAGUCUUGAGUAUGGGAGAGGUGAGUGGAACUGCGAGUGUAGAGGUGAAAUUCGUAGAUAUUCGCAAGAACACCAGUGGCGAAGGCGGCUCACUGGCCCAUAACUGACGCUGAGGCACGAAAGCGUGGGGAGCAAACAGGAUUAGAUACCCCUGUAGUCCCUGUCUCUUAUAC
rnacentral:rRNA from 1 species